rnacentral:lncRNA from 1 species
GAAGGUGGCCGAGUGUGUCGCCGCGGCCAUCAGGCACUUCUCCUUCCUGCCCUUGUAUGAAGAAGGAUGUGUUUGCUUCCCCUUGUGCCAUGAUUGUAAAUUUCCUGAGGCCUCCUCAGCCCUGCAGAACUGGCUAGAGCAAUGUAUCUUAGGCUCACUUAAGGAAGCUGUAGAGAUGAGCCCAAGGAGGGAAACCAGAAGAGCCCCCCAGGCUCACCAGUUGUUUGUUGGCUCCCUACAAACAUGUCAUUCAAGUGGCUAAUCUUACAACAGCACAAAUUCAUCUAACCAGCAGAAAGAGAAGAGGAGGCUCCAAAGGCACUUGACUACUGAGCAUCACCCUGGACGUGUACAAGUCUGCGUCCUUAUUGUUUUCUUCAUUGGGCCGAACUUUCUGGUCCUCAUCCAACAGCUCUUCUAUCACGUGUUCGAAAGUGUCAGCCAAUGAUGUCAAGCCUCUUGAACCUGCCUUGGGCCCAUUCACGCUCUCCAGAGUCCCAUGGGUCCGCACACCUGGAGAUACUCUAUUAUAGCAAAGAAGAAAGAUAAUUUCAUUGAGCCAUCCUGUUUUACAGGAAAUUCUGCAAGUGGCAACGUGGGUCCAUUCCGUGUGUGUCACUAGAGCUGGCGCAAGCCCAUGGCCAUGGUGAGGCAGCGUUUCCACUGGAACUAAUCUGAUACCUGCACCAGCUCUUGCAACUGUGCAGUGUUCCCACUGCAAACUACGGAUGGGGUAAAAGACUGCUCACCUCCUAUUUCUCAUCUAAUCUCACACACUCUGUUUGAUGAGGCUAUGGAGAAACAGGUCUUCUCAUACACUAAAGGUGGGAGUACAAACAAUUCAAGCCCUGUGCAGGACAAUUAGGCAAUACCUAUCAAAAUUAUACAUGAUUUUUCCUGCUGACCCAGCAAUUCCACUUCUGGGAAUAAUUGACAGAUAUAGGUGCAUAUGUACAAAAUGAUGGAAAGCUCUCUGGUAUAUAUUAGUAAGUGAUAAAACAAGGUGUAAAAUAGUGUAUAUAUGGCUACUACCUUUUGUUUUAAAAAUGGGGGAAAAUGGUGGAGCUUGCGGUGAGCCGAGAUCGUGCCACUGCACUCCAGCCUGGGCGACAGAGCGAGACUCCGUCUCAAAAAAAAAACAGGGUGGGGUGGGGGGGAAAUAAUAGUACAUAC